AUUGAACGCUGGCGGCAUGCCUUACACAUGCAAGUCGAACGGUAACAGGUCUUCGGAUGCUGACGAGUGGCGAACGGGUGAGUAAUACAUCGGAACGUGCCCAGUAGUGGGGGAUAACUACUCGAAAGAGUGGCUAAUACCGCAUGAGAUCUACGGAUGAAAGCAGGGGAUCGCAAGACCUUGUGCUACUAGAGCGGCCGAUGGCAGAUUAGGUAGUUGGUGGGAUAAAAGCUUACCAAGCCGACGAUCUGUAGCUGGUCUGAGAGGACGAUCAGCCACACUGGGACUGAGACACGGCCCAGACUCCUACGGGAGGCGGCAGUGGGGAAUUUUGGACAAUGGGCGCAAGCCUGAUCCAGCAAUGCCGCGUGCAGGAUGAAGGCCUUCGGGUUGUAAACUGCUUUUGUACGGAACGAAAAGCCCUGGGUUAAUACCCUGGGGUCAUGACGGUACCGUAAGAAUAAGCACCGGCUAACUACGUGCCAGCAGCCGCAGUAACAC
rnacentral:rRNA from 1 species